GAUAAAUUUGAGCGGCCAUUUUGAAGUGUCAUGAGAGGAUUUCCUCGAUCUUUUGGAAUGGAGAUUCGAUAGAUGAAGAUAAAUACUUGCACUCCACUGGCUACUUUACUUACGAGAGAAGCCCAGACGGUUACUGAUACUGUUCAAGGUUAGAUACAGUGAAGUAGAAAAUGAGAUGGUAACGAAUGACGUCAUUGAAUCAACAGCUCUCGUCCUUAAAUGGUCAUCCUUUUAGGAUCACUGCCUCGUAAGCGAUGCCCAAGCUCGUCUCAUUGUAGUACAAGUUUCUAAAUUUUCAAACUAGUGAACUGCAUCCAAGCUUGGGUUUAGAGACAAAGGGAUGAAGUGCAUGGUAUCUCAGUAUUGGGACAACGACAGACAUGGGCUGGAGAUUCUGUCAGUGUUAAGUUCUUGCCAUCAGACAUUUGCCCUAGCGAUUUGCCAGCGUUUUUUGGUACUUCACUCCCUCAGAAGCUUUAACAGAAUUAAAAGAAACAAUUACAACAGGAAAUGUUUUUCUUUUAAGCAGUACAAGAGAAGGCUUUACUGUGAUCUCACUCGCAAAUUCAGCUGGAAUUCAGCUGUGUACAUUCUAUCGCAGCUUGUCAUCCUACUACGUUUGUUUGCUUUGAUUCUGGUACGUGUUGUCAACGAAAUACUUGCAUCUGGUGGCAUCCAAACAGCUUUUGUUUUGACCAAGGUCCGCCAUCAGAAGAUUCGCCUUCAUAUGUAUUCAAGAGAAAUCUCAAUGAAAGUUUUUCGGUAUACAUAAAUAGUUGCUGAAUGCUUUGGACGGACCUCUGUCGUUUGAUCUAAAUCUUUGGCUUUUAUCUAAAACAAAAUCUGCGUCAAAAUUUGCGGUGGACUUUGAAACAUCGGAUUUAAAUGAGGGAAGAAGCACAUCAAAAGGAAGCAACUUCUAAUUUAAACAGGACAAAAUGGUGAAUAAUGGAAAUUGAUAGGGAUUAAAAACGACAUAGUUUGAUGAAUUUGCUCUUAUUAGUUAACAUGCGCAAAAAAGACUGUCUUUUAGGAAUUGCUCUUUUAACCCUUUACUUCCUAGAUCUGAUUUUUAAAUUCUCCCCACAAGCUGCGACACAUUUUUUUUCUAAUUAAGCGCGAGAAUUUGGUGCUUGAUCAAGACAGGAGAGAUCAAGAUAACAAAUUCUACCUGAUAAGUUUGAGUACUCUCAUUGCCUGUUUGCUGGGUAAUAUGUGGAUAUCACAAAGAUAAAUUACAUGUUCUUACUUCAUGGAGUUGAAGGGUUAAAAUGUUUAUGUGUGGGAGUAGAAAGGGUGUCAUAACAGCUGACGUUCACCCGAAGGUGUUCGACUUGUCAUUUACUCAGUUGAUGCCGGUCCAGGUUUACUAUCAAUGUCAUUGUUUCUUUUCCUUUCUACCUGUCACUGCCCCAAAUCGCAAUAAGUUUUUUAGAAUCUCCGAGAGAAUAGUUUACAUUAGUAAGUGGAAAAUAUUCCUGUGCCUCUUACGAAGCCACCGUCAGCAGAAACAAAAAAUAGUUCUAACACUUUGAAUUACGACGAACUCAUUCUAUCUAUAGAUGGCUUGUAGUAGCUGUUGAACACACAUCAGCAUAUUACACACAUAUGUGAUGAAUCUAGGCUCAUUUGG